CGAAAACGAAAGGUAAUUUGUGAGAAACAUCAAUGUAUAUUGGUCGUCAUUAAAUUUGUUUGCUGUACAAAAUCGGUGUUUUGACAGGAUUUAUUACCAAAGGAUGAGUUCCUUAGCCAGAUACUGUGCAGUACUUGUAUGUUUAUUUCAAGCCUUGAGACUUAUGGAAGGAGUAAGUGUGUUAACGGGCAAGGAAAGUUAUGGAAGAAUAGAUAAAUCCUCAACAUUGAAUUGUACAGAUGGAGCUAUUACAGUAACAAGUGGAUUCGACAUCUCAAAAAAUGGUGGUACUAUUCUGACACAUAUUUCAGUACAGUCAAAAUAUAGUGCAACUAGGAAUAUAGGAUUUAUUGUGAUAAAUAUCCAUAACACAUCUGUUUCUGAUGAGGGUGAUUACACAUGUACUGUUGGAUUUGGAAGCCAAUCAGCACCAUAUUUGUUUCUGG